rnacentral:rRNA from 1 species
AUGAACGCUGGCGGCGUGCCUAAUACAUGCAAGUCGAGCGAACAGACGAGGAGCUUGCUCCUCUGACGUUAGCGGCGGACGGGUGAGUAACACGUGGAUAACCUACCUAUAAGACUGGGAUAACUUCGGGAAACCGGAGCUAAUACCGGAUAAUAUAUUGAACCGCAUGGUUCAAUAGUGAAAGACGGUUUUGCUGUCACUUAUAGAUGGAUCCGCGCCGCAUUAGCUAGUUGGUAAGGUAACGGCUUACCAAGGCAACGAUGCGUAGCCGACCUGAGAGGGUGAUCGGCCACACUGGAACUGAGACACGGUCCAGACUCCUACGGGAGGCAGCAGUAGGGAAUCCUCCGCAAUGGGCGAAAGCCUGACGGAGCAACGCCGCGUGAGUGAUGAGGGUCUUCGGAUCGUAAAACUCUGUUAUUAGGGAAGAACAAAUGUGUAAGUAACUAUGCACGUCUUGACGGUACCUAAUCAGAAAGCCACGGCUAACUACGUG